rnacentral:rRNA from 1 species
GACAGAGGGUGCAAACGUUGUUCGGAAUCACUGGGCGUAAAGGGCGCGUAGGCGGGAAUGUAAGUCGGGCGUGAAAUCCCCAGGCUCAACCUGGGAACUGCACUCGAAACUGCGUUUCUUGAGUAUCGGAGAGGAAAGCGGAAUUCCUGGUGUAGAGGUGAAAUUCGUAGAUAUCAGGAGGAACACCAGUGGCGAAGGCGGCUUUCUGGACGGUAACUGACGCUGAGGCGCGAAAGCGUGGGGAGCAAACAGG